UACGUAGGGUGCGAGCGUUAAUCGGAAUUACUGGGCGUAAAGCGUGCGCAGGCGGUUCGUUAAGUCAGAUGUGAAAGCCCCGGGCUCAACCUGGGAACUGCAUUUGAAACUGGCGGGCUUGAGUGCGGCAGAGGGGGGUGGAAUUCCGCGUGUAGCAGUGAAAUGCGUAGAGAUGCGGAGGAACACCGAUGGCGAAGGCAGCCCCCUGGGCCGACACUGACGCUCAGGCACGAAGGCGUGGGGAGCAAACAGG
rnacentral:rRNA from 1 species